CGAUGCGUAGCCGACCUGAGAGGGUGAUCGGCCACACUGGGACUGAGACACGGCCCAGACUCCUACGGGAGGCAGCAGUAGGGAAUCUUCCGCAAUGGACGAAAGUCUGACGGAGCAACGCCGCGUGAGUGAUGAAGGUUUUCGGAUCGUAAAGCUCUGUUGUUAGGGAAGAACAAGUGCCGUUCAAAUAGGGCGGCACCUUGACGGUACCUAACCAGAAAGCCACGGCUAACUACGUGCCAGCAGCCGCGGUAAUACGUAGGUGGCAAGCGUUGUCCGGAAUUAUUGGGCGUAAAGGGCUCGCAGGCGGUUUCUUAAGUCUGAUGUGAAAGCCCCCGGCUCAACCGGGGAGGGUCAUUGGAAACUGGGGAACUUGAGUGCAGAAGAGGAGAGUGGAAUUCCACGUGUAGCGGUGAAAUGCGUAGAGAUGUGGAGGAACACCAGUGGCGAAGGCGACUCUCUGGUCUGUAACUGACGCUGAGGAGCGAAAGCGUGGGGAGCGAACA
rnacentral:rRNA from 1 species